rnacentral:rRNA from 1 species
ACGGGUGAGUAACGCGUGGGUAACCUGCCUUAUACAGGGGGGAUAACAGUUAGAAAUGACUGCUAAUACCGCAUAAGCGCACCAGGAUUGCAUGAUCUGGUGUGAAAAACUCCGGUGGUAUAAGAUGGACCCGCGUCUGAUUAGCUGGUUGGUGAGGUUAAGGGCCCCACCAAGGCGACGAUCAGUAGCCGACCUGAGAGGGUGACCGGCCACAUUGGGACUGAGACACGGCCCAAACUCCUACGGGAGGCAGCAUGGGGAAUAUUGCACAAUGGGGGAAACCCUGAUGCAGCGACGCCGCGUGAGCGAAGAAGUAUUUCGGUAUGUAAAGCUCUAUCAGCAGGGAAGAAAAAAUGACGGUACCUGACUAAGAAGCCCCGGCUAACUACGUG